GAUCCAGUACAGCGGAUCUCUUCCAUCUAUAUUCUGAAGAACUUGAAGAUGAGAGGGGUUCCUCCUGCCACGGCUCUGUCAUCCAGGGCCAGUUUGAGGGUUCCGUCCUUACAGCCAAUAUCAUGUAGAGCCCAUCCACAGAUACACCAGCGACCCCUCACAACACCACUCAAUCAUCUACCAUGAGGACAACAUAGGGAGCUGGGGAGGGAUUUGUUCAAGACACACGCUGCAGAACUACACCCAGUACCUCCCCCCUCAACAUGUUAAGGUCACCCUGGCCCACGAGCUGUGCCACAGCCUGAGUGCCGCUGUGAGUACUGGACAAUGUCAUCCUUGCCUAUUGUUAUUGUUUUUCCCCAUUGGUGUUCCAACACAUACUUUUAUUUGUUAUAUCACUGAUAUUUGAUGUUUGAUAUAUCAUUAUAUGCCAUUUGAUUAUAUUACUUAUUUUGUUGUACAGGUCUUGUUGCAGCUCUCUGUGUUAAUUCAUUGUCACAUUCUGACCUUAGUUCCUUUGUUUUGUCUUUGUUUUAGCAUGGUCGGGGCGUGAGUUGGGGUGGGCAGUCUAUGUUCUUUUUUCUAGAAUUUGGG